rnacentral:lncRNA from 1 species
UUGAAAUUCUCCCUCCAGCAAUUUCUGACAGGGCAUGGGGAUUUUCUCCGGUGUCACCAUACUUCAGCAGGAGUGACUGUGUCAUCCAGGUGCAGGUAUUCUUGGUUGUCCUUUACCUGUUGUCUCUUCUUGUCACACAUAGCUAAGAAAGCAGAUGAUAGGUUCAUCUCUAUUACAUGGGGAAUUACCAAGUGGUUGCCUAGCAACUCACACAGCACAGUCAACAUGGUCUCUGUUGUGGAAUGUAGAGUGGUUAGCUUUCUUUUCAAGAAUGUAUUUCCAUACUUCUUUUGGGUUUCUAGAAAAGAAGGUACAUUUCCUGGAUUUGAGCUGCCUCUCUCCCCUUGAAGAGGGACUUUGGCAUGUCCCAACUCUUGCGUUAGGGAAUCCUUUGAUUACUUCAGCUAACUUCUUUUCCACUGGAAAGACAGUUGCUAGACAGAGCCUGGGACUUGACUAGCGCCUUUCCCGUGAAUUGACUCAUCUGGUGAAUUGUGGCAUCUUCAUCCUCAGGAAGGUGCCAGGACAUGGAGUGAACUUUAGCCACAGAGAGUAUCUGGGACCAGAAACACAGGAUCUCUAUUAAAAGAACACGAAACGUCACUUCCACACGACCUGCAAUUUCUAGAAUGGAGAGAAAGCUUCAGUAAACAUUCAGUAAUAGCAUGCAACAAAGGCAAGUAAAGGCUGUGAUAGAACACUGGCAUGGUGUUCUUAAAAGAAUAAUAUUAUUUGUCCUGUAUUUAGCCAACAUAAGGAUGUAUUGCUCUUGUUUUCUCAUGGUGGGAGAUAUGAAGUUAUGAAGAGAUAGUUACUGGAUCAAAAUAGAAGAAAUGAUGCCUGGCAGCUAGAAAAAAAUAUUCAUGUGCAUUGAUUACACAAUAAACAA